rnacentral:lncRNA from 1 species
GCACUUACCAUGUGCCUCUCCUGCUUCAGGGCACCACGCCAGCCUAUAAGCAGCCGCAGGGGUUGAGCCCUGCAGAGCCCCAGAGGCAGAGCUGCCCAAGGCUUUGGGAGCCCACCUCUUGCAUCACUGUGCCCUGGAUGUGAGACGUGGAAUCAAGGAGAUUAUUUUGGAGCUUUAAGACGUAAUGGCACCCUGCUGGGUUUCAGACUUGAGUGGAGCCUGCAGCCUUUCUUUCGGCCGGUUUCUCCCUUUUGGAACGGGAGUAUUUACCCAAUGCCUGUACCCCCAUGACGUGCCCGUGUCCCCUUCCUCCACCACAAGAUUGUAAGUUUUCUGGAGCCUCCCCAGAAGCUGAGAAGAAGCUGCUAUGCUUCCUGUUCAGCCUGCAGAACCGCCACUUCCAGCAUCGAUGGUGUCAGGUCAGGUCCUCUGGGUAGAAGAAAUGGAGUCAGUUAGGAGUGCUGGAGACUGAGUAAGAGGUGGCAGCUGAGGCUUACUACCCCAGGAAAGGGAUGCCACCAGAGAAGGCAGACAACCAAGAUGGCGACUCUCAAUUUUUGAGCUCCUAAUUUUCUCAUGUCAGACAUAAGAAAAAAAAAUAUUUUUUAAAGAAAAAGCUUUAGGUUGCAAAAAUCUAGGCCUUUCAACUUUAAAAUCCUAUUCUUGCAAGCCUUGGAGAAUAAAGCUUAUGCAUAAACAGUAGAUUUGGAAACAGAAAUAUGCCUAAUUACCCAGAGCCAUUCUUUCAAUACGCCAGUGAUUGUUUAAAGAUUCUAUAGGCUGGAGUCAAUGGCAGGAGGCGGGUGGGAAAAGAGUCAAGAGGGAGGAGAGAAGAAGCAAGAGGGUUGGGUAGAUAUUGUCACAUGACCCUGAGAGGAGGAUUCUGGGUCAAACCCCUAGGGGGUUGUGUGUAAUGGAGACUCCAGAUCCAUUUGGGAAUCUGGCUCCAAAGAAGACUUCACCUUGCCUUCUGAGUGGAGCCCUGAAGUGGCAAGACUCAUAGAAUUCCCCCACGGGUCCACACAAGAGAGAAUGAAUAGAGAAGGCUGCGUGCUGGCUGGACCAAGGCAGCCUCGGGUGACACCACCACCACCACCGCCGCUGCCGCCAUCGCCAUCACCACUGCCGCUGCCAUCACCGCCACCACCACCACCAUCACCACCACCAUCACCACAUUAUGGACAAUAGCCCAAUGUUUCCUGAGUUCCCUAGAGGGUUGAAAGAGAAUAGGACCUAGAGAGAUCACAUAGUUGGGACAGGCACUCAUUAAUUUGAUCCAAUGACAAGAGACCAGAUGGGAAGAAGGAUGCCUUGAGAGAUGUCAGUGUGCACCCAUGGAUAGAAGCAGCUGGUGACUGGGUACUUGGGAAGCCACAUGGACACACACAAAGCUCCUGGAAGACGUUUUCAAGGAGUUGGGCUGUGCUGGGAUCCAGAACUGGCUGAAGAAACCAUGAGCUGACAUAAAAUUUCUGCCACCUAGCAGAAUGGAGGCUCCAUUUGGAAAUUAAAUUAUAUACUUAAAAAAACUAUAAUUGCUUCAUUUCUUUUUUUUGAGAUGGAGUUUCACUCUUGUUGCCCAGGCUGUAGUGCAAUGGCACCAUCUCAGCUCACUGCAAACUCCGCUCCCGGGUUCAAGAGGUGAUCCUGCCUCAGCCUCCCGAGUAGCUAGGAUUACAGGUGUGCGGCCACCAUGCCCCGCUAAUUUUGUAUUUUCAGUAGAGACGGGGUUUUACCAUGUUGGUCAAGCUGGUCUCAAACUCCUG